UUCAAAUUUUCAAUAUCUCUC
ensembl:piRNA 21ur-2338 ncRNA